CAGCGCCAUUCAUUACAGAGAGGGUGAGUUGUUUUAUAAAACUAUAUCUUUUUAAUCUCGUAAUUUCCAGGAAGCAGUUCGCCUUCUUCACAACUCUGAGACAAAUUGUAGCAGGCGCUACGAGCCGGAGCAGGGACUAACCUCGUACCUUUGCUCGGAGCUGUCUGCAAAUCCAGAUUUACAUGACGCUGAUAAAUGACGCCAUUGUGUCUGCCUGUAAGAAAUACUACGAGACAGCACGCAGGAGCUUCAGCUAGAACCAACCAGAUCUGAUCAUCGCGGGCAGAAGCUGUGAAGAG